UACAAUGCGAGAAAUCGUGAUAAGGGAACCCCGAGUGCCCGUAAAUUCGGGCUGUCCGCCAGUGUAAAUAACUGGUGAAGAAAGGGCCGGGCAAGACCGGUGCCAGCCGCCGCGGUAACACCGGCGGCUCGAGUGGUAACCGUUAUUAUUGGGUCUAAAGGGUCUGUAGCCGGCCGGAUAAGUCUCUUGAGAAAUCUGGCAGCUUAACUGUCAGGCUUUCAGGAGAUACUGUCUGGCUCGAGGCCGGGAGAGGUGAGAGGUACUUCAGGGGUAGGGGUGAAAUCUUGUAAUCCUUGAAGGACCACCAGUGGCGAAGGCGUCUCACCAGAACGGACCUGACGGCAAGGGACGAAAGCUAGGGGCACGAACCGGAUUAGAUACCCGGGUAGUCCUAGCCGUAAACGAUACUCGCUAGGUGUCGGCCACGGUGCGACCGUUGUCGGUGCCGUAGGGAAGCCGUGAAGCGAGC
rnacentral:rRNA from 1 species